AUUGAACGCUGGCGGCAGGCCUAACACAUGCAAGUCGAACGAGUGGCGGACGGGUGAGUAAUGUCUGGGAAACUGCCCGAUGGAGGGGGAUAACUACUGGAAACGGUAGCUAAUACCGCAUACCAUCGGAUGUGCCCAGAUGGGAUUGGCUAGUAGGUGGGGUAACGGCUCACCUAGGCGACCAUCCCUAGCUGGUCUGAGAUGAUGACCAGCCAAACUGGAACGGAGACCCGGUCCCGAAUACUCAGGUGGGAAGCAGUGGGGAAUAUUGCCCAAUGGUCGCAAGCCGGAUGCAGCCAUGCCGGUUGUAUGAAGAAGGCCUUCGGGGUGUAAAGGACUUUCAGCGAGGAGGCGUUACUCGCAGAAGAAGCACCGGCUAACUCCGGGCCAGCCGCCGCGGGAAUAC
rnacentral:rRNA from 1 species